rnacentral:rRNA from 1 species
GAUGAACGCUGGCGGCGUGCCUAAUACAUGCAAGUCGAGCGAACAGACGAGGAGCUUGCUCCUCUGACGUUAGCGGCGGACGGGUGAGUAACACGUGGAUAACCUACCUAUAAGACUGGGAUAACUUCGGGAAACCGGAGCUAAUACCGGAUAAUAUAUGGAACAGCAUGGUGCAAUAGUGAAAGACGGUUUUGCUGUCACUUAUAGAUGGAUCCGCGCCGCAUUAGCUAGUUGGUAAGGUAACGGCUUACCAAGGCAACGAUGCGUAGCCGACCUGAGAGGGUGAUCGGCCACACUGGAACUGAGACACGGUCCAGACUCCUACGGGAGGCAGCAGUAGGGAAUCUUCCGCAAUGGGCGAAAGCCUGACGGAGCAACGCCGCGUGAGUGAUGAAGGUCUUCGGAUCGUAAAACUCUGUUAUUAGGGAAGAACAAAUGUGUAAGUAACUAUGCACGUCUUGACGGUACCUAAUCAGAAAGCCACGGCUAACUACGUG